rnacentral:rRNA from 1 species
AUACGGAAGGUCCGGGCGUUAUCCGGAUUUAUUGGGUUUAAAGGGAGCGCAGGCGGCCUUUUAAGCGUGACGUGAAAUGUAGGCGCUCAACGUCUGAAUUGCGUCGAGAACUGAGGGGCUUGAGUUCACGGGAAGUUGGCGGAAUUCGUGGUGUAGCGGUGAAAUGCUUAGAUAUCACGAAGAACUCCGAUUGCGAAGGCAGCUGGCUGCAGUUGGACUGACGCUCCUGCUCGAAAGUGCGGGUAUCGAACAGGAUUAGAUACCCUGGUAGUCCGCACGGUAAACGAUGGACGCCCGCUUUGUGGCUUUUUAGUUACGCGGCCAAGGGAAACCAUUAAGCGUCCCACCUGGGGAGUACGCCGGCAACGGUGAAACUCAAAGGAAUUGACGGGG